UACGUAGGGACCAAGCGUUGUUCGGAUUUACUGGGCGUAAAGGGCGCGUAGGCGGCGCGACAAGUCACUUGUGAAAUCUCUGGGCUUAACUCAGAACGGCCAAGUGAAACUGUUGUGCUAGAGUGCAGAAGGGGCAAUCGGAAUUCUCGGUGUAGCGGUGAAAUGCGUAGAUAUCGAGAGGAACACCAGAGGUGAAGACGGGUUACUACACAGUUAUUGACGCUGAGGCACGAAAGCGUGGGGAUCAAACAGG
rnacentral:rRNA from 1 species